rnacentral:tRNA from 1 species
ACUUAAAUAGUUUAAAGAAAAUUUUAAUUUGUGGGGUUAAAGAUAUGAAAUUCAUUUUAGGUA